rnacentral:rRNA from 1 species
AGAGUUUGAUCCUGGCUCAGAUUGAGCGCUGGCGGCAGGCUUAACACAUGCAAGUCGAGCGGGGAAGGGUAGCUUGCUACCUGACCUAGCGGCGGACGGGUGAGUAAUGCUUAGGAAUCUGCCUAUUAGUGGGGGACAACAUUCCGAAAGGAAUGCUAAUACCGCAUACGCCCUACGGGGGAAAGCAGGGGAUCUUCGGACCUUGCGCUAAUAGAUGAGCCUAAGUCAGAUUAGCUAGUUGGUGGGGUAAAGGCCUACCAAGGCGACGAUCUGUAGCGGGUCUGAGAGGAUGAUCCGCCACACUGGGACUGAGACACGGCCCAGACUCCUACGGGAGGCAGCAGUGGGGAAUAUUGGACAAUGGGCGAAAGCCUGAUCCGGCCAAGCCGCGUGUGUGAAGAAGGCCUUUUGGUUGUAAAGCACUUUAAGCGAGGAGGAGGCUACUGAGAUUAAUACUCUUGGAUAGUGGACGUUACUCGCAGAAUAAGCACCGGCUAACUCUGUGCCAGCGGCCGCGGUAAUACAGAGGGUGCGAGCGUUAAUCGGAUUUACUGGGCGUAAAGCGUGCGUAGGCGGCUUUUUAAGUCGGAUGUGAAAUCCCCGAGCUUAACUUAGGAAUUGCAUUCGAUACUGGGAAGCUAGAGUAUGGGAGAGGAUGGUAGAAUUCCAGGUGUAGCGGUGAAAUGCGUAGAGAUCUGGAGGAAUACCGAUGGCGAANGCAGCCAUCUGGCCUAAUACUGACGCUGANGUACGAAAGCAUGGGGAGCAAACAGGAUUAGAUACCCUGGUAGUCCAUGCCGUAAACGAUGUCUACUAGCCGUUGGGGCCUUUGAGGCUUUAGUGGCGCAGCUAACGCGAUAAGUAGACCGCCUGGGGAGUACGGUCGCAAGACU